UACGGAAGGCAGCAGUGGGGAAUAUUGCACAAUGGGCGAAAGCCUGAUGCAGCUAUGCCGCGUGUAUGAAGAAGGCCUUAGGGUUGUAAAGUACUUUCAUCGGGGAGGAAAAAACAAAACUAAUAAUUUUAUUUCUUGACGUUACCCGAAAAAGAAGCACCGGCUAACUCCGUGCCAGCAGCCGCGGUAAUACGGAGGGUGCUAGUGUUAAUCAGAAUUACUGGGCGUAAAGAGCACGUAGGUGGUUUUUUUAAGUCAGAUGUGAAAUCCCUGGGCUUAACCUAGGAACUGCAUUUUGAAACUGAAAUACUAGAGUAUCGUAGAGGGAGGUAGAAUUCUAGGUGUAGCGGUGAAAUGCGUAGAUAUCUGGAGGAAUACCUGUGGCGAAAGCGGCCUCCUAAACGAAUACUGACACUGAGGUGCGAAAGCGUGGGGAGCAAACAGGGAUUAGAUACC
rnacentral:rRNA from 1 species